GACGAACGCUGGCGGCGUGCCUAAUACAUGCAAGUCGAACGCUUCUUUCCUCCCGAGUGCUUGCACUCAAUUGGAAAGAGGAGUGGCGGACGGGUGAGUAACACGUGGGUAACCUACCCAUCAGAGGGGGAUAACACUUGGAAACAGGUGCUAAUACCGCAUAACAGUUUAUGCCGCAUGGCAUAAGAGUGAAAGGCGCUUUCGGGUGUCGCUGAUGGAUGGACCCGCGGUGCAUUAGCUAGUUGGUGAGGUAACGGCUCACCAAGGCCACGAUGCAUAGCCGACCUGAGAGGGUGAUCGGCCACACUGGAACUGAGACACGGCCCAGACUCCUACGGGAGGCAGCAGUAGGGAAUCUUCGGCAAUGGACGAAAGUCUGACCGAGCAACGCCGCGUGAGUGAAGAAGGUUUUCGGAUCGUAAAACUCUGUUGUUAGGGAAGAACAAGGACGUUAGUAACUGAACGUCCCCUGACGGUAUCUAAACAGAAAGCCACGGCUAACUACGUG
rnacentral:rRNA from 1 species